rnacentral:lncRNA from 1 species
AUUUGCUCCUAAGUGGCUCCCAACCAUUCAGAGCUAGCCUUCAGUCGUAUCUUGAAGGAUACGGAGACUGAGAGGAAGAUGACUGUAAGGACUACAGCUAAGGGGAGAAGAAACAAGACAGUAGCAGUGGCAAAUGCCAUCGUCAACUAUGCUAAUCGGAAAAUUUGAAUGAUUUUGCUCUGCAAGAAUGAGGAACCUUCUGUUGACUAUAGCCAGCAUUGCGAGAAGAGGGAGCCAAACUCACCAAAUGCCUGGGAUAAAAUCCAUCAAAUGACAGCUCAAGAUGCAUCCCUGAGAAGAAGCUUUCACUGUAUGGAAAAAGGAAAAAAGAAAGAAAAAAUGAAGAGAGACAAAUGUGUAGCUAACGAAAGAAGCUCAAAAUCCUCUGAUAUCCAGGCCAGGAGACUUGGUGAAGAUCAAAGUUUGCAGGCAAUGAAGUGAUCCCUUGGCAAUCAAACCUUCCUUCCAUUAUUGAUAGUGGAGACAAUGCGGCCUCAUCUGCAUUCUGAUGGCACUUCCCCACACAUUUUGCCAACAUACACACACACCUUCCUUUUCUCCUGGAAAGGAAAUAAUCAUUUUCUCUGCCAAGGAAUCACUUAAAAGAAAUGCAACAAAAUUAGUGGUGUCCUUGGCAUAAUGUGAUCAAUCCCAUGAGCAACAGCUAAUGCAUUCCCUUUGGGCAGCAUCUUUCCUGUUCCAACCCCCACUGGAAUCAUCCAUAACAACUUGUAUCUUUGACUGAACUAUCCAGAGGGUAACAGAUAGACAUGUUUUUUUUUAAAAAAAUGCUUUUGGACUAGAAAGCCCAUAAUUCUCAAUUCUGGGAGUUCUUCCUGAGUGAUAAGACAGCUGAAUGUGGCUCACCUGGGAGAAAGGCUGAAGCUGGAAGAUUUUGUGGCCUAGCAAGGCCUAGAUUUUUGUUCAUAAAAAAGCUUUCCCCCUUUUUGCUUUUAUUGAUGUGUUUCAUUUUGUUUUGGGGUCCUUUCCUUUCUUGGACUGCUUUUGCUGCCACCUGAAUCUGCCUCUGUCUGCUGGACUGAGAAGAGAGGAGAAGGCGAAAGUGGGAGAGAAUGUUGGAGCCGCUGCUGAGCCAAGGCUUUGGCUCGCUCUUUGCAGUUGGGUGAGAGGGGGGAACACCAGGUUAAUUGAAGGGUGUUCUCCCCCUCUAUCUGCCAUUUUCCUUUUCAAGCAUUGGGAAAGAAAGAGCUCCGCUUCUCGCUGUAAUUUUGGUGCUGCGUCAUCAUCCAGGCUUUCGUUCACCAGUGACUUGGAGGCUGGGAGGGUAGCGUCGGCUUCCUCCUGUGGUUUGCUUGUUACUUUUGCCCCAUUGGGCCUUGACAUUAAUUGAAUGAAUUUCGUUUGGUUUAAAUUAAUCUUGUUAUAUUUGUACUUGGUAUUUUAGUUUUAUUAGUAGUGACUGGCAGCCGCACAAAGAGGGGGAGCCGCGCUCAUGCGACAGCCCUUUUGGACCCAGGAGGGAUGGAAAAUUAAAAUAAAAUAAAAUAAAGGAGAGAGAGGGGGGAGG